rnacentral:rRNA from 1 species
GGCUGAGAGAUCAGCUGUUCCCUUCGGGGACAGAAUGACAGGUGGUGCAUGGUUGUCGUCAACUCGUGUCGUGAGAUGUUGGGUUAAGUCCCGCAACGAGCGCAACCCUUAUGACUAGUUGCCAGCAUUUAGUUGGGCACUCUAGUAAGACUACCGGUGACAAACCGGAGGAAGGUGGGGAUGACGUCAAAUCAUCAUGCCCCUUAUGACCUGGGCUACACACGUGCUACAAUGGAUGGUACAACGAGUUGCGAGACCGCGAGGUCAAGCUAAUCUCUUAAAGCCAUUCUCAGUUCGGACUGAAGGCUGCAACUCGCCUACACGAAGUCGGAAUCGCUAGUAAUCGCGGAUCAGCACGCCGCGGUGAAUACGUUCCCGGGUCUUGUACACACCGAAUCCAAUUCCCGCGGCCC